rnacentral:rRNA from 1 species
UACGUAGGUGGCAAGCGUUGUUCGGAUUCACUGGGCGUAAAGGGUGCGUAGGUGGUGAGGUAAGUCGGAUGUGAAAGCUCCGAGCUCAACUCGGAAAUGGCAUUGGAAACUACCUUGCUCGAGGGGUUUGAGGGGGGACUGGAAUACUUGGUGUAGCAGUGAAAUGCGUAGAUAUCAAGUAGAACACCAGUGGCGAAGGCGAGUCCCUGGAAAACUCCUGACACUGAGGCACGAAAGCUAGGGGAGCAAACAGG